rnacentral:rRNA from 1 species
CUACGGGACGCUGCAGUCGAGAAUUUUUCACAAUGGGGGAAACCCUGAUGGAGCGACGCCGCGUGGAGGAUGAAGGUUUUCGGAUUGUAAACUCCUGUCAAAUGGGAACAAGAAAGUGAUAGUACCAUUAGAGGAAGAGACGGCUAACUCUGUGCCAGCAGCCGCGGUAAUACAGAGGUCUCAAGCGUUGUUCGGAUUCAUUGGGCGUAAAGGGUGCGCAGGCUGUGGGGUAAGUCGGAUGUGAAAUUUAGGGGCUCAACCUCUAAACUGCAUUCGAUACUGCUCCGCUAGAGGUAUGUAGAGGAGAUUGGAAUUCACGGUGUAGCAGUGAAAUGCGUAGAUAUCGUGAGGAAGACCAGUGGCGAAGGCGAAUCUCUGGGCAUUACCUGACGCUCAUGCACGAAGGCCAGGGGAGCAAACGGGAUUAGAUACCCCCGUAGUC